CACACCUCUAAAAGUAAAUAAGUAUGCAAUUUAUGGAUAUUACCCAAAUACGUCAGGUCAAAGUGCAGCUUAUGAGAGGGUGAUGAUGGGUUACAAUCUAAAGAAAGAUACCGAUCAUGAACCUAAAAAUCAUGUGAAGGUGGACUUGGAUGUAAUAAUAAUUUUCUAGUUAUAAUGAAAAUGAAUCUAAGACAUGCACACAUCGCCCGUCACUCUCGCCCAAAGGCGAGAUAAGUCGUAACAAAGUAGGCGUAACGGAAGUUGCGCCUGU
rnacentral:rRNA from 1 species